GAAGAGGAGGGGAAAGAGGAGAAUAAAUCUUUGAAAGAAAAACAGAAAAAUCAGAUCUCUGACCCCAUAAUCCAGCUUUCUGUGUGAAGAAAAUGACCCGGGUUUACAUAGUGAGGAAAGAGAGGAACAGUGGGCAUGUGACAAGAGGUGCACUCAUAAAUCACAGCACAGCCAGGCUGAGGGCACUGUCCAGCCUGGGGGCACCAUCCAGGCUGGGGGCACCGUCGUGGUUGCAAGCCACGUACGUUCCCAUGCCCAUCAUAAAAUAGUGAGUGAAAGCCAGCCAUGAAGGCAGUAUGCAUGCACACGAUACGCAUAUAUUCAUGGGUUCAGGUGAACGGGAUCACCAAGCAUUGUGAGCAUGAAGGCAACCCUCUGCCUCCUUUCCCCAAGCAGGCAGCCCCUCCCUCUGCGGUGGCAGCCCCUCCCUCUUCGGUGGCAGCCCCUCCCUCUUCGGUGGCAGCCCCUCCCUCUACGGUGGCAGCCCCUCCCUCUGCGGUGGUAGCCACUCAGUGUUAUUCCCCUGUGUGCUUUUAAAUAUUUACUACCUCUGGAUGCACCCAUAAGCAGGGCCUAACACUACGGUGCAUUUUUACGUCUUAAUAAACAGGAGGCAGCUUGGUGGGACCCACUCCCUCUCAGCCAACACCGGGUGUGAGCAUUUAAUCUAUCUUGAUAACUUGCAUCGUGAGUUCAUUAAUUUUAACUGCUGUCAAGAAUUCCAUUUCCGAGAGUGGGCCCCGUUUUAUUUCCUCUCCCUCUGGCUGGUAAAAGCUGAGGUUAUUGACAAGGCUGUUGGCUCUGACGUGCUGGGUCCUGCGGCUUUCCUUGUGUACACAAGUGAGGCUGUCUCUGGGGAUCUGAAGCCCGGCACCCAGCAGCCAAGGUUCCCUCUUCCGGGACACUGCUUUGUGCUUCUAGGUCGGCACUAAGGGGAGUGUAGCUGUCUCAUUUGCUUCCCCAGAGGGCUUGGCUCUCGAGCUUUCCCGGCUGCUAGGAGGACACAGUGUCUCCAGAUGAGGAUCUGGAGGCCAUUAUCCUUCCCUGUCCUGUGACCGUGCAGUGCCCUGCACUCUGUCAGACGCCACCACUAGAUACUCAGAACCUGGACCUCACCUCUGAUCCAAGUCAGGGUGUCUGUUGGACAAAAUGAAGCCUCCUGCCUGUAAUUCCCAGGGUGUGGAUCUUGCUCUUCAGAACAGAGGGCAGCCUAAGACAUUAAGGGCAGUGUAAGGAGAGCUGGCAGUGAGACAACUCUGAGGUAAGGGUGUAAGACUGCAGACUGCAGCACAGGCAAGCACCUCCAGGGGGCCCAGUAGGCUCCCGGGACUUGGGGGAGGAGGCUGGCUGACCACUCUGAGGUGUGAGCCCAAGGUUGCAGGGCACCCUGGUCCUGACUCAGAUGCAGGUCUGGGAGAUGCUCCUCUCUGAUUUUUGAAAGGGCAGCAUUCACUGGUCUGUGGGCUCCUAGCAGGUUCCUGUCCCCUGAGGUCUGAUGCCUCCCUGUCUCAAAAUGGGAUGCAGGAGGCUUAAAAUGAGAAAGCCUGUUCCAGAACAUGUGGCUUAUGGGAAAGCUGUGGCCAAAUCAAUGAUAAAAACCCUUGAGCAAACACGGCUACUUUUAAUAUUUUUUUAAAUGUUCUGAUUUGGAUUGCAAAAGAAAUUAAAUUAAGAACUGAGACUCCAGGUCAGAGCCCGGCUGCUCUCACUGGUUUUUAAUCUCCCAUUAAAUGAUAUUUCUUCUGAUAGCUUUAGUCAGCUUGUUCAAUGUAAUGACCCAGGACAUGCAGCCUGCUGACCCUCACUCCUUCUCUGUAGUCAAGGAGAGGGUACCACAGGCAGCCAAGUUAACAUGCCUCUUAGCAUGACAGUGGGUAGAUGGGCCACAGUAACAGAAGCUGAGGAGCAGGCAUAGCAGAAUUGUGUAAGCAUUGCUUAAUCCCAAAUUAGAGGUGAGCCACCUGAAACUCAAGAAAGUAAGAAUUUUUCUUUUUUCUUUUUUUUUUUUUUUUUUGCUUUUUUUCGGAGCUGGGGACCGAACCCAGGGCCUUGCGCUUCCUAGGCAAGCGCUCUACCACUGAGCUAAAUCCCCAACCCCAAAGUAAGAAUUUUUCUAAGCCACAGAAGCCAGUGUAAAACCCAGGUGUCUUAGUCAGGGUUCCUGUUCCUGCACAAACAUCAUGACCAAGAAGCAAGUUGGGGAGGAAAGGGUUUACUCAGCUCACACUUCCACAUGGCUAUUCAUCACCAAAGGAAGUCAGGACUGGAACUCAAGCAGGUCAGGAAGCAGGAGCUGAUGCAGAGGCCAAGGAGGGUGCUGCUUCCUGGCUUGCUUCCCCUGACUUGCUUAUAGAACCCAGGACCACUAGUCCAGGGAUGGCUCCACCCACAAUGGGCCAGAUCCUCCCACUCUUGAUCACUAAUUGAGGAAAUGCCUUACAGCUGGGUCUCAUGGAGGCAUUUCCUCAAGGGAGGCUCUUUUCUCUGUGAUGACUCCAGCUUGUGUCAAGUUGACAUACACGCCCAGUCAGGACACCAGGUGUGAGGACAUCCAGCCAUAGGUGUGGGAUGAACCCACUGCUCUAGUGUGGUCCCCAAAUCUCCACUGGCUUUCAGGGUAUCGCUGGGGACAGAGAGCUCAGUCUGGGAGAAAGGCUGGCUCUCCAUCUCUGAGAUCUUGUUUGAUGAGAGUCACAGUUCUCACACCUGGGCCCUUCCUGCCUGUGAUGGCAGACAAAGACACAAACAGCAAUGCUGAAAAGGUCAGAUCUGAGCUACAAAGGAAGUUCAGUACACAUUUUGUGAGAACAAGGCUGGGUGGCUGGGUGGCUGGGUAACAGUGCUGAAGUCUUCAUGGAGGAUGUGGUGGUUUGAAUAAGAAUGGCUCACCUAUUGAUCGCUUAGUCAUCAGGAGUGGCACUACUUGAGAAGGAUUAGGAGGCAUGACCUUAACAGAGGAAAUGCGUCACUGGGGAUAGACUUUGAGGUUUCAAGAGCCCAAUCCAGGCCUAGUCUCUCUCUCUCUCUCUCUCUCUCUCUCUCUCUCUCUCUCUCUCUCUCUCUUUUCUUUUUUUUCGGAGCUGGGGACCGAACCCAGGGCCUUGCAUUUGCUAGGCAAGCGCUCUACCACUGAGCUAAAUCCCCAACCCCAAGGCCUAGUGUCUCUUUCAGCUGCCUGUGGAUCCGGAUACAGAACUCUCAGCUUCUCUAGCAUCAUGUCUGCCUGCACCCUGCCAUGCUUCCUGCCAUGAUGAUAGUGGACUGAACCACUGAACUGUAAGCCAGCCCCAGUUAAAUUCUCUCUUUUAUAAGAGCUGCUGUGGUCGUAGUGUCUCUUCUCAGCAAGAGAAAUUGCCUGUUUCAUCGGCAGACAUAAUACUGUCCGGAACAAGGACAUACUGUGUGAAAUAGUCGACUGAUAGUUCUGCCAAGAGAGGGUAAACUGUCCUUCAUAAUCCUGCUUUACAAAGGUCUGUCAGGGGAACCUGGGCCAAAAAGCUGAUGUCAGAUGCUCCAACGUUAUAAGACAUUAGGGGUUGUCCACGUGGUCUGCUGUCUCUACAACUGUUUAAGUUUGAGAAGCUAUGUUGGGUGCUUCCUACAUACUCAGGUAAUGUUUAAGUCAUUCCCAGAUUUCUGACGGGGUUGAAGACUGGUUAUAGUCUCAUAGUCAAACUCAUGCUAUUUAACAUCAAGAGAGAAGUUAUAGGGUGGAAGACAUGUUUUUCAGGUGUGCUACAGGCUAAAAUCCAAACAUAGCCCAGGAAUGAGGGUAGAGGACUUUGUCUCACUGACAAAUAUGACGGACUGGAUGUCAUUUGUGUAUCACACUGAGUAAUUUACAUAAAUGUUAUAGUUUUGUUCAAUUCAUGUCUGGAGAAGAGGGUUUUUUUUUCCCACUUUUUUUUCUUUUCUUUUUUUCGGAGCUGGGGACCGAACCCAGGGCCUUGUGCUUGCUAGUCCAUUUUUUUAUUGGAGAGAAAAGGUGAGGUGUAGGGUGGUUCUAAUGCUAAGGCUCUCCUCCCUAAUUUGUUCUUGAUCCAUCAGUAAAGAUGCUAGAGGCCAGUGAGCUGUGCAGAAUAGACUAAACUUCUGAGUCCCUGAAGGCAAGCUAGCAGACGAGAGAGAGAGAGAGAGAGAGAGAGAGAGAGAGAGAGAGAGAGAGAGAGAGAUGGGCAGAGCAACCAUAGGCAGCUUCUCCAGCUGGGAGGCUGGAGUUUGCUUCAUCUGUGGAUCCAAUAUUCUGUGUGUCAGGGCUGGUAGCGUUGUUCGUUCCCAGAGCUUAGAGCAGGGCAGCAAAAGCUACACACACAGCAGAGAAUACUAAGACGGAGAUGGGAACCUCAAGAGGAAGCCAGCCUUGGCUGAGGUAGAAGAUCUAAUGAUGAGGGAGGGUAGAGCUAUUGAGAAAGAUGACUUUCAAGGUGUGUGUCUUCUGAGUGAUGACUUGCAAGGUGUGUGCCCUCUGAGUUGUAGAGGCCGUGCCUCCACCAGACCUGUGUGCACCGUCACACACACCAGACCUGUGUGCACACACACCUAGUUGUACUUCCUUAGCCCCCCCCACCAUAGGCCUUGUGAGGUGUGGGCAUCACGAAUAGCAUGCAGACAUGUGCAUAUACACCCAUGCCAAUGUUCUCACUAUGCACACCAACCUGGGAGUUCAUGAACCGUCAUCCUGGAGAAAGUUCCCAAGGAUCCUGUGGUCCUACACAGAGCAAGAAGGACUAUCCUUUUUCUCUACUUAGAGAGGCUGAGUCUUGGAGGAGGGGUGAUUUCUGUGAAGGAAAAUUACGAGGAUGAGGGGUGAUGAAGUGGACAGGUGAGAGUUCUGUGGAAAGUCAGUUGUGUUGGAUGGAGUUUUGUUGGGACAAACACAUGAAGGGACGUUUCAUUAAAGUGGACACAGGUGUGAAAGGCCAAGGCAGACUUGUGAAGGGAUGUUUUUGCUGAAGCAGACACAGGAGAGGGGAUGCAAACUUGUGAAAGGACACAUAAUGAAGCAUUCUUUGCUAACAGCACGCAUGCAUUGGUCCACCUUAUGUUGCACCGUUGAGCUGCAUUUGUUGGGACUCCAUAGAGAGAAAUGUACCAAAAACCUUCUGGUGGCUGCUGCAGGUUCUUGCUGCUUCUGUGGAUUCAGGCUGAGUGGCAGAGUGACGUCAGCUGAGACAGAUGCGCGUGCAGAGGCAAGACACGUGGAGGAGACCUGACGUUCAGAGAGAAUAUAAAAGGAUUCGACGGACAGCGAUGGGGGCUGAGCCAGGCUUGCUGGUCGUGUGGGUCUUAGGCCUUAGUUGAACUUCGCUUUCCUGAGAGAGGCACAGCCGAGAGCUUCUGGCAUUCCUCCUGAUCCCUCCUGCUGAAUGGAGCCGCUGAGGCUGAGGCCUGGCUGUCUCUGCUAGGGAGUGCCACUGCUGCUGACUCCCGUUGGCAAUCCUGACUCUAUCAAACUGGACUGCUGGUGCAUCUGUGAGGUGUUUGCAAGUAGAUGGAGCUCCUGCCGCUCACCUGUGAACUGAACUGCCGAUUUCCAUACAACGCAGACGGGAGUUGCUCCAAAGAACCUUUCUAAACAGGUACACACACACACACACACACACACACACACACACACACACACACACACCGUGUGUCCUCCCCAUCCUUUCUUUCCCACUACCUCUGGUGGGUGGUGGGCUACAGGGAGGUUAAAAAGUAUUUAAAAAACCAUCAUUAGAAGUAGGUUUUUUAAAAAUUAAAGCUCAGGGUUCAGCUUGCACUUAUUAGUCAGCUCUCAGUACCCUAGAGCUGGAGACAGGAGACUGCCCUGAGGGGGCUAAAUAGGCAGCUCCGAGGGUUCACUGUAGUAGUUGGAACACCCCGCCCCCUUCUUCUUUCAGGCUUCACUCAGGGCCCUCAUGCUACAGUCACAUGCUUCUCUCUUGAGAUAGGGGGAAUUCAUGGACAUGCGUGUAAGGCGUGUGUGCUCUUACACAUGUGUAAGACAUGGGGUGCCCUCUAACUUAUUGCCUUGAGGCAGGCUCUCUGUCUGGACUGGAAUCUCAUCAUAUAGGCUCUACUAGCCGUGCAGUGAGUUCUUGGGGCUCCCCGGGCCUCAUGUCUUCAAUACCAGAGUUAUAGGCACAGCCAUGCAUACAGAGCAAGUGUCUUACCCCCUGGGUCAUCUCCCCAGGCCCCUGUCUGGUGGUCCAUUGUCCCUUAGUUGCGUCUGACAUAUCACCCUGUCCACUGGGACUGGUCUCAGCUCCAAGCACCAGCUCUGUUCCCUCUCAGAGGGCCAGGGGAUAAGGGAAUUUCCCCUAUUGAGGUUUUGCGUCACCUUUAAGCCGUGGGGAGUGGGGAGGCCAAUAUUCUGCUCACUGGUUCUUGGAGACUUGAAUUAGCGGGACAUUGGCUGGGGCUGGGACAUGGCUCCACGGCAUCCGUUUGCACUGAGCUGUGACCACAUCCAUCCAUCCAUCCAUUUGCCACCACGAGUUUCUGUGACCACACCAUGCUCACUGAUGGUCUUCCAACUCACCCCUGGGGAGAUGGGAGCUUUCAGCCUGUGGAUCCUGAGCAAACCCUGCUUCCUUUCUGCUCCAGGAAACAAACCGGAGAGCCACAAAAGGCUGGGCCCCAAGGAAGGGGCAGAGUCCCUAGGCUACCCCUACUCUAGUGUCACCCCGUGUAACCCUGCUCUGCCUGGCUGCUGAUGCUCCCUCCCAGGUCAACCCAACAUCCCCACCUUCAAGAUGACUGAGAGAACAGCUUCUUCUUGAAACCUCUGGACACAGAGCAUGUCCACCUCAUGCAUCUGUACAGCUUCUGUGUCCGAGCCUCCUGCAGAAAGACAGAGAAGGAUCCGUGUCCUAGACUAAACUGAGAUUUAUUUUUGGAGUCUCAGGGCCAAGGUCUCCCUUUAGUGGCCAGCAGACAUGGGCGGCAGUCACAGCCUACCUUCUGAAGCCCAUCAAAGUGGUUGGAAGCUGGGCUAGCUCCCAGCAGGGAUACCAGUGUCUCAGCCUUGAUGGGGAGAAAGGCAUGAGGCUGUAGAGCCAGGGGACACAGUCUAAAGCCUUGUGGGGGCUUGGGAUGCGGCUCAGUUGGGAGUGCUUGCCUAGAAGCACAGCGCCCUGGUUUGCGUCCCAGCACUGUGUGAAGCAGGCACAGUGGUACACGCCUGUCCUCCCAGCGCUCAGGAGGGAAACAGGAACUUCAGAAGAGCAGUAGCAUCCUUUCCCUGGGGCCAUAAAUAGAACCGGGUAUGGUGGUGCAUGCCUUUAAUUCCAACCAAAGUAGGUAGAUCUCAGAGUUGGAGGCCAGUCGGGGCUGUGUCUCGAUACCUCGUCUCAAAAUAAUACCUCGUCUCAAAGUGGUGUGAGAACUGCCCAUGGGGUGGCCAAAUGCAAGAAGCCUCAGAAUUCAAGAUAAAUUCGGUACUGAGUGGGGGUGGGGCUCUGAGUUCCAAGUAGAGAAUCCAGGGGCCACACUCUACACCCAGCCCUGCGCUCACUGCUCCCAAGGGGACUUGGAAGCUUAGAUGCCCAUGUGUACAGAAUCUGUAUGGAGGAAACGGUGUGUGUGUGUGUGGGGGGGGUCACUGAACUAAGACCCUCUCUAGGAGCAAGGGACCAUGGCAGCUAUGUUGGAGAGAGCUGGGCAACGCGCUGAGGAGCCUGGGUGCUACAGACCACUGCAGCCCGUGUCCCAGUGAGCUCACCACAGACCCCAGCCCAGGCCUACCUCAGGAGACUGUGAGAGUUAUAGUCUGCAAGACAGCAAGCCGACCAGCCCCACACCUACCUCCACUAAUCCACCAUCAGCUCAGUCACACCAGGUCACAUGCUGCGUGCAAUGCUUAGAAACUCCCAGCUAAGCAAGUGCCUGACUUCCAGCUGGGAAAGCAGUUUGUGUACACAAGCUCCUAUGUGUGCGGAUGCGGAUGCCGGGGCAAGCCAGAAGAGAUCGGUGAAUCUCCCAGAGCUGGAGUUCCAGAUGACGUUCGCCCAGUAGCUCUGCAAAGGCCACAAGCAUCGUUGCCCACUGAGCAUCUUUUCAGUCCUCCAUCAACUUCUGAAAACAUCAUUUUAUGGACACAAGUGUAUGUGCACCGAACGAGUUCAAGGCCUGCAGAGGCCAGAAGAGGAGGCUGUCAGAUCCCCUGAAACUACAGUAUAGAUAGUUGAGUUGUGAAUUACCUUGUGGGUGCUGAGAAACAAACCCAGGUCCUCUGGAAGAACAGCAAGUGCACUAAACAACUGCGUAUUCCACACACACCCUUUUAAGAUGGGGUCCUGCCCCACCCCACCCCAUCCCACCCCGCUGGCCUGCAGCUCACUAGAUAGCCUAGGCUGACUGGCUAGCAAGUCUGUCUCUGUUACCUGGGGGCAUGCUCGCCCAUGUGUGCGUGCGUGUUUAAUGUCAGACCUGGGAUUAUGACGCUGCCUGGAUUCUCUUUCUGUGGAGACUUCAUGCUUGUUGCACACGUGUCUCCCAGCCUGGAAAUCUGUGUUGGCCGAGAGAAUAAAUAGUAUGAGAACAGCCAUCAUU